rnacentral:rRNA from 1 species
UACGGAGGAUGCAAGCGUUAUCCGGGAAUUAUUGGGCGUAAAGCGUCCGCAGGUGGUUUAUCAAGUCUGCUGUCAAAGCGCGAGGCUUAACUUCGUAAAGGCAGUGGAAACUGAUGGACUUGAGUGUGAUAGGGGCAGAGGGAAUUCCCAGUGUAGCGGUGAAAUGCGUAGAGAUUGGGAAGAACACCGGUGGCGAAAGCGCUCUGCUGGGUCACAACUGACACUGAGGGACGAAAGCUAGGGGAGCAAACGGG